ACUACGGGGGGCUGCAGUGAGGAAUAUUGGUCAAUGGGCGCGAGCCUGAACCAGCCAAGUAGCGUGAAGGAUGACUGCCCUACGGGUUGUAAACUUCUUUUAUAAAGGAAUAAAGUGAGGCACGUGUGCCUUUUUGUAUGUACUUUAUGAAUAAGGAUCGGCUAACUCCGUGCCAGCAGCCGCGGUAAUACGGGGGAUCCAGGCGUUAUCCGGGUUUAUUGGGUUUAAAGGGAGCGUAGAUGGGUUGUUAAGUCAGUUGUGAAAGUUUGCGGCUCAACCGUAAAAUUGCAAUUGAUACUGGCAGUCUUGAGUACAGGUGAGGUAGGCGGAAUUCGUGGUGUAGCGGUGAAAUGCUUAGAUAUCACGAAGAACUCCGAUUGCGAAGGCAGCUUACUAAACUGCCACUGACAUUGAUGCUCGAAAGUGUGGGUAUCAAACAGGAUUAGAUACCCUAGUAGUC
rnacentral:rRNA from 1 species